GACGGCUGCAGUAGCGUGGAAAGGGGGGUGACGUCCCGCGGACUUGAGGCGGGCAGAUCUGGGGGGCCCCGACUCCCCAGCGGCCCUGUAGUGGUGCGGGCGAAACUCUGGCCCCAGAUAGGACCGGUGAGCCGAACUGGGGUGUGCGGAGCCGGGGCUCCGGGGGAUGGCCCGGGGCGGCGUGGCGGGCAUGAGAGCUCGGGGCUCCGUCACGUACUCCGAGUCCCGCACGCACUCAGCGUCGCUCUGGGGCCCCACGUCCGGCCCUCGACCUUGCUGACAACUUUGGCGGCCCGGGCCUGCCGCGGCCCUCCUGCCCCGCCCCUCCUGCCUCGCGCCGCGAUCCGAGAGACCCCGUUGGCGUCGAGUCGUUGAGAGGCUGCGCGCCUCGGCCCCACUCCGGGGUUGGGGCGCUGGCCCCGCCGCAGCGCUGCGUGUCCGGGGCCACGUGCGCCGCCUGCGCCUGCGCGCUGCCCUCCAGCCGCGCCCGUCUGGCCGGGCUCCGCCUGGCACCCGCCAAGGUGACCCUGUCCCUUUCUCCUUGCUGCGGUGAGAAUCAGGCCGAGACAGCCAAAGGAAGGUUCACUUUCCUUUAAUUCUACCUCAUACUUUUUGAGUGCCUUCUAGGUGUCCGGCGCGCCCCCACGUGCUUCCCCAGUGUUAAUUCAUUCUCUCUCUAGUCCAUGUCAUGUUGCCUCUCAAAUUUUACAUCCCUCUCAUUCCCAUCUAGGGAACUAGAUCAAACCUACCUGGAUUCUUGUGAACCAUUCAUGUGAAUUAUUUGGAACUGGAAUUUCACACAGACCCGGGGAAUUUCUCAAAGUUCAAGACGGGUCAUAUUCCGUGGAAUACGGAAGGAGUUGGAGUGAUUUCACUUUUCUGAUCAAGAACUGAUAGCCAUUAAAACUCAGCUCCGCAAUAUAUCCCCCCACUCCAAGGGAGGGCUGAGAUGAUCACUUCGUUUUCUGUUACGGCUACUUUUAUAUUUUUCAACAUUACUGCUGGUCUGUAAGAGAACUAAAACAUCUGAUUUUCCUCAUUUCCUUGUAAAGAGGUGUUCAAAUAUGUACUUGAAUUUAAUUAUUUCUUCUGGUCAGCUGCAAAACCUGCUUUUCUUCCUUAACCCCUAGCAUUUUUAUCCUCUUAGCUACAGACAGGUUUCCAUGGCGUUGGUUAAAAAUUAAGGCCUAUUGAGACCAUAGUAUUUGCUUUCCAGUGAGUAAGAAGCAAGAACUUUAGGAUUAAAUUCAGCAAAAAGAAAAAAAAAAAGAGUAAAAUUUUGCAAGCAGAGUUUGUGAUUUCACCAGCAACACACUAACGUUUUUGGCUACUGAAAACCACUAUCCCCAGCCCCAUGACUCAGCAGCUAAAUCAACAGCCAACAUCUCCUACUGGUAAGGACUCUAAGAAAUCAGGCACUUGGUACUCUCAGAGCAAUUCUAAGGCGUGGCCCUGAAAGGGCUCCAAACAAUCUUAUUUUACAUAAAAAUGGUUAGAGAGAUAAAGAUACUCUGCUGUGGCCAGAACCAGUAAAUCUAGCAGGAAAUCAGAGGCCGAACAUGAUCCCGGACUGCUGCCGUUGCAAGAUUCUUGGAGGCUGCAGCGCCACAUUCUGAGCCAGCACUUCGACCUCACAUUGUAGCUAAAAUGUUAAUGAUUACUAGAGAUGUCCUGAAAUCUUUUUCAAAAUUCACAGGCUGCCAAAUGCCCUCCCUGUUUCCAUAGCUCCUUAGGCUUUGUUAGCAGGCUGUGGGGUUCACAUUUGCUUGUAGUCAGCACAACGGCAUUGCAUUUAGUUAUUAUUUCUCACUUGCUGUAAGCUUGUUGAGAAGUUUUAUUGGUGGUGGGCAGGUGGGGAAUAACUGUCCAAAGCUAUCAGAAUACCACACCUUGAAGCACUGUAGGUAACACAUGCAUGGUGUCUGCAGGUGGCCGGGAUCAAGGGAGAGUGAAUCUGCUACGACCUGUAACUCGCUUGGAUUACUGAUUCUCCCUGUGAUACGUGUGUAAAAAUCACUGGUCAGCUUGAGAAAGGGAUCUUUGUGAAAGAGGGUCUCCAGCCAGAUAGGGAACUUCAGGGUUGGAUAAGGAGCUCUGGGGAGGUAAGAUACCAGAUGAGUGCAGAAGGGGAUGUAGCUGGAUGGUCCCUCCUCAUAACAGAUCAUGAGGUUUUGGUAUUCAUCACUCAGUAUUUCACGUACACCAGAGACUACAUAAAGCGUAUAUAAAUCUCUGUGUACCCACAUCCCGCUUAAGAAAUGGAACACCAUGCUGGGCGCGGUGGCUCACGCCUGUCAUCCCAGCACUUUGGGAGGCCGAGGCGGGCGGAUGACGAGGUCAGGAGUUCCAAGACUAGCCUGACCAACAUGGUGAAACCCCGUCUCUACUAAAAAUAUAAAAAUCAGCUGGGCUUGGUGGCAGGCGCCUGUAGUCCCAGUUACUCAGGAGGCUGAGGCAGGAGAACCACUUGAACCCGGGAGGCGGAGCUUGCAGUGAGCCGAGAUCACGCCACUGCACUCCAGCCUGGAUGACAGAGCGAGACACCGUCUCCAAAAAAAAAAAAAAAAAAAAAGAAAGAAAGAAAGAAAUGGAACCCUAGAGUCCAGGCUUAGUGGCUCACAUCAGUACUCCCAGCACUUAGGGAGGCUGAGGCAGGAGGAUUGCUUGAGCCCAGGAGUUCCAGAACAGCAGAACAGCCUGGGCAACAUGGAGGAGACCCCAGUCUCUGUAAAAACUAAAAAAUUAGGCAGAUGUGGCACAUGCCUGUAGUCCUAUCCCAGCUGCUUGGGAGACUCGGGUGGGAGUGUCACUUGAGCCCAGGAGGUUAAGAUUACAAUGAGCUAUGAUUGUACCAGUGCACUCCAGCCUGGGAGAUAAAGACCUGUCUCAAAGGAAGAAAUGGGGCCGGACAUGGUGGCUCACCCCUAUAAUCCCAUCACUUUGGGAGGCUGAGGGGGGUGGAUCACCUGAGGUCAGGAGUUUGAGACCAGCCUGGCCAACAUGGUGAAACCCCAUCUCGACUAAAAAUACAAAAAAUUAGCCAGGUGUGGUGGCACAUGCCUGUAAUCCCAGCUACUCAGGAGGCUAAGGCAAGAGAAUUGCUUGAACCCAAGAGGCAGAGGUUGCAGUGAGCCAAGAUCAUGCCAUUGCACUCCAGCCUGGGCAACAAGAGUUAAAAAAAGAAAAGAAAUGGAAAGUUAAAAAAAAAAAAGAAAAAAGAAAUGGAGGCCGGGUGCGGUGGCUCAUGCCUGUAAUCCCAGCACUUUGGGAGGUUAAGGCGGGUGGAUGACCUGAGGUCAGGAGUUCAAGACCAGCCUGGCCAACAUGGUGAAACCCCAUCUCUACCAAAAAUACAAAGAUUAGCCGGGUGUGGUGGUACAUGCCUGUACUCCCAGCUGCUCGGGAGGCUGAGGCAGGAGAAUCAUUUGAACCCGGGAGGCGGAGGUUGCAAUGAGCCAAGAGUGUGCCAUUACACUCCAGCCGGGCGACAGAGCAAGAUUCCUUCUCAAAAAAAUAAAAAAAAGAAAUGGAACAUUAGUAAUGUCAUUUAGGUCCCCUGUAUGUUCUUUGACCCCAGAGGUAGCCACUAUUCUAAAUUUUGUGUUUUAUUAUUCCCUUGCUUUUUUUUUUUUUUUUUUUUUUUUUUGAGACGGAGUCUCACUCUGUCGCACAGGCUGGAGUGCAGUGGCUGAUCUCAGCUCACUUUAAGUUCCGCCUCUCCGGUUCACACCAUUCUCUUGCCUCAGCCUCCCGAGUAGCUGGGACUAGAGGUGCCCGCCACCACACCCAGCUAAUUUUUUGUAUUUUUGGUAGAGAUGGGGUUUCACCAUGUUAGCCAGAAUGGUCUCGAUCUCCUGACCUCGUGAUCCACCUGCUUCAGCCUCCCAAAGUGCUGGGAUUACAAGUGUGAGCCACCGCACCUGGUCUAUUCCCUUGCUUUUUAAAAUGAUUUUUUUUUUUUUAUUUUUAGAAGGAGUCUCAUUUUUUUUUGCCCAGGCUGGAGUGCACUGAUGCGAUCUCGACUCACUGCAACCUCUGCCUCCUGGAUUCAAGCGAUCCUCCUGCCUCAGCCUCCUGAGUAGCUGGGAUUACAGGCACCCACUACCACGCCCAGCCAAUUUUUUUUGUAUUUUUAGUAGAGGCAGGGUUUUACCAUGUUGGCCAGGCUGGUCUCAAACUCCUGACCUCGUGAUCCACCUGCCUCGGCCUCCCAAAGUGAUGAGAUUACAGGCAUGAGCCACCUCGCCCAGCCUAUUUUAUAUUAUUUUAUUUUAUUUUUGAUACAGAGUCUCUCUCUGUCACCCAGGCUGGAGUGUAGGGGCACAGUCUUGGCUCACUGCAACCUUUGCCUCCCGGGUUCAAGCGAUUCUCCUGCCUCAGCCUCCGGAUUAGCUGGGAUUACAGCCGCAUGCCACCACGCCCGGCUAAGCUUUUGUAUUUUUAGUAGAGAUGGGGUCUCACCGUAUUAGCUAUGAUGGUCUUGAUCUCCUGACCUCUUGAUCCUCCCGCCUCAGCCUCCCAAAGUGCUGAGAUUAUAGGUGUGAGCCACCGUGCCCAGCCGUAUUUUAUUUUUAAAUAUAUAUAAAAAAAUUAUAAGUACAGAACACUUCACAGAUUUGCAUGACGUCCUCGCGCGGGGCCCAUGCUGAUCUUCUCUGUAUCAUUCCAAUUUUUUUUUAGUAUAUGUGCUGGCAAGUCAUGCUAGGUUGGCAUUCCUCAGGGUGUCCAAAUGAGAGGAGUAAAGGGGAGGUGAUUAAGCAAGAAGGCCCAGGGGAGCUGGGGAAGCUGGGAGCAGAGUUCCCCUGGGCAGAGGUCAUGAAGGGGCACCCAAGUGACAGCCGAGGGAGAACAACUUCUGGAAAGUCUGUCUCAGCAGGCAUCAGAGGAAAGCAUCUCUAUUUGGCAUCAAAGAGCUCAGCAUGGCCUCCCUCAGGGCCCCAGCGCCUUUAUCUUUGGGAUGGAUGUGAUAAUAGUCUCAGGGGGAGGUCGGCAGUCUGGGAAUUACUGUUUCAAGCUAGAAUGGACACCUAGAAGGCACUAAUAUCCCUAAAUAGUAUCUGCAGGAAGUUAUCCAGCCAGUUUUCUUUUCACGUGUCUCUGUUCCCUCCCUCUUUUUCACAAAAUUCUUAAGGUUGUUGCCGAGGUUCUUUUUUUUUUUUUUUGAGAUGGAGUUUCACUCUUGUUGCCCAGGCUGGAGUGCAGUGGCGCCAUCUCGGUUCACCGCAGCCUCCACCCACCAGGUUCAAGCGAUUCUCCUGCCUCACCCUCCCUCGUAGCUGGGAUUACAGGCAUGUGCCACCACGCCCAGCUAAUUUUGUAUUUUUAGUAGAGACAGGGUUUCUCCAUGUUGGUCAGGCUGGUCUUGAACUCCUGACCUCAGGCGAUCCGCCCUCCUUGGCCUUCCAAAGUGCUGGGAUUACAGGCAUGAGCCAUCGCGCCCGGCCGCUGAGUUUCUUAAGGUUGUCACAGCAUCACUUGGAGGCAGGAGUGCCGGCCCCUGGGAAGGCCCUUGUCUUGAGAGGAGGAGAGGUCAGGUAACAAUUGCUGAGUUCCAGAUGGAAAAUGAGGAGCCACGUUCUUCAGAAGGUAGUGAUCUGGCGUGAUUCAGGCGUGGGGAGCAGGGUUUCACCACGCCUUCAGGCACACCACAAGAUAAUGAGAAAAUUCUCCCUGCAUCUAUCGCAGACCAAUAAAGUUGCUGGGCCGGGCACAGUGGCUCAUGCCUGUAAUCCCAGCACUUUGGGAGGGCGAGGCAGGCAGAUCACCUGAGGUCAGUAGUUUGAGACCAGCCUGGCCAACAUGGCAAAACCCCAUCUCUACAAAAAUACAAAAAUUAGCUGGGCGUGGUGGCACAUGUGUGUAAUCUCAGCUGCUCGGGAGGCUGAGGCAGGAAAAUUGCUUGAGUCCAGGAGGCAGAGGUUGCAGUGAGCUGAGAUUGUGCCACACUGCACUCCAGCCUGGGCGACACAGUGAGACUCUGUGUCAAAAUAAAUAAAUAAAAAAAAUAAUGUUGCUGAGGCCUCGUUACUUGCCAGACACCAGGAUGCUUGUAUAUGUAACUCAUUUAAUCUUGUAAGCACGUCCAUGAGCACACUCCAUCUGAUCGUCUCCACUUUCCAAGGGGCAGGGAGGCAGCAGCUGCUGGCUGAGGUGCCAGAGGACCAACUAACGCAGCCUGGUCCCCAGUCCUCGCCCCCAACCUCAGCAUUGUGCUCCUCCAAGAUGAAGAUUGUUCAUUCCCCUAGUCCUCGGAUUCCAGUAAAAUGCUACAACACCACCGUUAGUCCAAGGAACCUUGUCUUGAUUUGCUUAUCUAUACCACAACUACCUAGAAUUUAGCUGUAGCAGCUUCAGGAUUUGCGAAACAUCACUCAGGAAGCUUUUGUGUCUGCCGGAUUCUGUGUUCUCUCUAGAACAGGUUUGCAGUCAGGAGAGGCAGCUUGCAGUCAGAAAUGCCAGUUACACUGUGUCAGCAUUGGAGUUCCAAUGAUAAAAUGUCCCCAACCCCAUACUCAGGUUGAUGUUUUCUGGCAUUUCCUAAGCAGAGGGGUAGAAACUUUCUGAUUUUCGGCUGGGCCCGGUGGCUCAAGCCUGUAAUCCCACACUUUGGGAGGCCGAGGAGGGCAGAUCACUUGAGGUUGGGAGUUCGAGACCAGCCUGGCCAACAUGGUGAAACGCUGUCUCUACUGAAAAUACAAAAAUUAGCUGGGUGUGAUGGUGGGUGUCUGUAAUCCCAGCUACUCGGGAGGCUGAGGCAGGAGAAUUGCUUGAACCCAAGAGGUGGAGGGUGCAGUGAGCUGAGAUAGCGCCACUGCACUCCAGCCUGGGUGACGAGAGAAACUCUGUUUCAAAAACAAGAGACUUUCUGAUUUCACACAAACACGUUACAGUUCCCAUGAAGUGAAGUCCUUGGAAGUAAAGUCCCCACACCUCCUGCACUGGAAUUCUCUGACUAAAUGGGGUUUUUGUUUGCUUGUCUUGUUUCCUGGUGGUCAGGGAAAUGCUGAGAAGAGAAUGGAUUUCAGCACAGCAUUUCUCAGAGCCUCUUAGGUAAUUCUUGGGGCUAGGAGAGAAAUGAAGAUUUCUCUUACGCAUUUUGAACAGAAAAGCAAGUGGGUAGAUUUCUAACUGG
rnacentral:lncRNA from 1 species